rnacentral:rRNA from 1 species
UUGGCUCAGGAUGAACGCUGGCGGCGUGCCUAAUACAUGCAAGUCGAGCGAAUGAUGAGGAGCUUGCUCCUCUGAUUUAGCGGCGGACGGGUGAGUAACACGUGGGUAAUCUGCCUGUAAGACGGGGAUAACUCCGGGAAACCGGGGCUAAUACCGGAUAAUAAGAGAAGAAGCAUUUCUUCUUUUUGAAAGUCGGUUUCGGCUGACACUUACAGAUGAGCCCGCGGCGCAUUAGCUAGUUGGUGAGGUAACGGCUCACCAAGGCGACGAUGCGUAGCCGACCUGAGAGGGUGAUCGGCCACACUGGGACUGAGACACGGCCCAGACUCCUACGGGAGGCAGCAGUAGGGAAUCUUCGGCAAUGGGCGAAAGCCUGACCGAGCAACGCCGCGUGAGCGAUGAAGGCCUUCGGGUCGUAAAGCUCUGUUGUUAGAGAAGAACAAGUACGAGAGUAACUGCUCGUACCUUGACGGUACCUAACCAGAAAGCCACGGCUAACUACGUGCCAGCAGCCGCGGUAAUACGUAGGUGGCAAGCGUUAUCCGGAAUUAUUGGGCGUAAAGCGCGCGCAGGCGGUCUCUUAAGUCUGAUGUGAAAGCCCACGGCUCAACCGUGGAGGGUCAUUGGAAACUGGGAGACUUGAGUGCAGGAGAGAAAAGUGGAAUUCCACGUGUAGCGGUGAAAUGCGUAGAGAUGUGGAGGAACACCAGUGGCGAAGGGU